UUACCAAAAACAUAGCCCUAGAUAAAAUCUAAGGUGUAACCUGCCCAGUGGUUUUAAAAUAAUAAUUUAAAAAUUUAAAAAUAAAACUAAAAGGACGCGGUAACCUUGACCGUGAUAAUGUAGCAUAAUCACUCGCCAUUUAAUUGAUGGAUAGUAUGAAUGGUUGAACGAAUAUUCCACUGUCUUAAAGAGAAUUAAAAGAAAUUGAAAUAAUAGUUAAGAUGCUAUUUUAAACUGUAAGACGAAAAGACCCUAUAGAGCUUAACUAUAAACUUUUUAUAAAAAAUUAAAAAUAAAUUUAUCAAUUAAAAAGUUUGGUAGUUUAGUUGGGGCGACUAUCUUCUAAAAAUAACGAAGAUAAGCAAUAUUAAUAAAAAAUUUAUUGUAUAAAUAAAAAUUUUAACAAUUAUCAUAGUAGGCUAUAAUGACCCGUUUUUACUAAAAAAUAAGAAAAACGAUCAAUUAAUAAAAGCUACCUUAGGGAUAACAGGAUAAUUUCAUUUUAGAGCU
rnacentral:rRNA from 1 species